rnacentral:tRNA from 1 species
UCGGAUAUUGGGGGAUAGGCUAUCCCUAACCUUGCCAAGGUUGGGGUCGAGGGUUCGAAUCCCUUCGCCCGCUCCA